AUACAAUCAUAGGCAUGGAAGAGUUAAAACGACAUGACAUAUAGUAGGAUUUUAAAAUCACUCAUUUUUUGGUUUCCUUUGUGUGCUGGCCAUGUAAUACAUGAAAUCAGCUUUGGAGAGCUUGAGGUAAACCAAUGAUGAAUCUGAGUAUUCUCCCAGACCUAUUAAUUUCAGGUUUGAUGUUUGUGCAAGAUCUUAAAACUAUUGGGGUGAUAAUUUUUGGAAUAAGAAUAUUAUAUAAUAAUAGUGGCAAUAUAUUCUUAGGAUUUUUUUUAUUGUAUCUACUUUUCCUGCGCAUGUCAGCAUUGGGAGGGAAGGAUUUAUGAACUAUGAAAGUGUACUUUUAAUCUCUUCUUUAGCCCCAUACCUAUAUUUGUAGAUUUGCUUUUUCACCUGAUUUUUGCAGUGCUUGUAUGUAGUUUUGAAUUUGUUUCCCCCUUUUGAAACUUGAUUCCUGUAUUCCAAGGUGUUGUUUCUGCUGAUUGAUUUGCAAACAGUUUAGUUUUAUUUUGUUUUAUUCUAAUCUUCCUGUCUCUUAAGUGUUAGUGUUUUCAUUGCUGUCUAAAGCUACCUCUCUUGCAUGCCGCUAUAUAUUCCUAUAGACUACUUUUUCUCGCAAAACCAUCACAUUCAAUGAAGUAAGUGUUCUUUAUCUUCCUUUUUCCUUUGCCCAUUAUCUCUAAUUAAGGUAGAUUAGACAAUUAGUAUUUUAUUGUGACAAAAAGCAUGUCAUUUUUCAGAUGAUAAUAUUCGAUACAUUAUUAUUAAAUUAAAUAGUUCCGUAUUUUGCACCUGUAUAAGUCAUUUCUCAAUGAUAUUUGAAAAUUUCUUUGUAUUGAAUAAAUCAGAAUAAUGAAAUAGAUACUUAAUUUGUACAUAGUACAUCCAUUGCUAAUCGGUUUCCUUCACAGCCUUGGCAUCCAGAGUGUGGACCACCAAGUGGCUAUGGAUCCUUUCAUCACCAGUAUUGGUUGGAUGACCGCCUUAUAGCUGUGGGAGUGCUGGAUAUUUUACCCCAUUGUGUAUCUUCUGUUUAUCUGUAUUACGACCCAGAAUUCUCCUUUUUAUCUUUAGGCACUUAUGCAUCACUAAGAGAGCUUGCGCUGACACGGGAAUUGCAGCGCACUGCGGCAGCAAUCAAGUGGUAUUACAUGGGAUUCUACAUACAUUCGUGUCCUAAAAUGCGUUAUAAAGGGAACUACUCUCCUUCAUAUCUCCUUUGUCCCGAGACAUACAUUUGGGUACCUAUUGAAGAAGCAACCCCUAAACUAGAUGUAGCUGAUUAUUCAAGAUUGAAUGAAGAUACGUCAGCCAAGGAUCAUUAUGGAGAAGUGGACCUCAACAGAAUUAAAAUUCUGUACGAUCAAGACUUUAUAUUAUAUGAAAUGUAUCAGAGGCUUAAUCCCAAGGAGGAUGAUGAAGAUGAGGUGAAAGAAUAUGCUUCCCUUGUAGGUGCUAAGAGUGCCCAUUCAAUGGUAUUGUACCGUGGCUAAAGUAGUUACAUUUUUUUAAGUGUAUAAAACUUUAGUGUGUCUUUUAAUUUAAUAGGAAAGACAUUUUUUUUAUUUAAUGUAUACAAAUGAGAUAUAUUUUAAUCAGGUGAUUCAUAUAGAGAAAGUAUAUAUUUUAUUUGUAGUGUGUGCAGAGGGCGAAUUUCAGGUGAAGUGAAAGUAUGCUAGUCCUUUUAGGAUAUUUUACUUCUUUUCCUUCAGGGCCUUAUCCUUAUAAUGUGCAAUUUGUGUCAAAUGGAAGGAUAACAUUUAUGAAGGGUGUUAGGAAUUAUUCUUUUAUUUGGGCAAGCAGGUGUUGUUAAUCCCAAAAUCAGGUUUAAUAUUCAUUGAAACUAAAUACUGGUAGUGUCAUUGGUUUGUUUUAAUUAGUUUAAUUUAAUAAUAAUAAUAAUGACUUACGUCGAGGUAUCCUAGAAUUGUCCAAGGAAAACGAAGCACCUGACCUCAAAUUUGAUUCCAAAGGGUUUAUAUAAAAAGAAGAAAUUUGUUGUUGUUUUAAGGUGGUACAUGGUACCGUUAUAUUUUAUUUUUUAUAGACAUUUAAUUUACAUUAGUAAAACUGAGAUCUACAGAAACUUACUUUUCCCUUAGGUAUAAGUAUAUUGUACCACAUGAGCAGCAAAAUUUCUCUUAAAUUUUUCUCUUUAUAAUUCUUAUUUACUGUUUUCAUUUUAGAAUACAAUUUAUUUUCAUAUGAUUUAGUGUCCCCCUUUUUUAUGAAAGUAUUUUUAUCAAGUAUCUAGACUUGGUUGACAGUUCUUGAAAUUUUUUUCUGUUCCCAGUAAUUAUAUUAAAAUUAUAAUGUAUACUUUUUAUAUUCAGCUGCAUUUGGCUUUAUGUUCUGUUAUGUAUACCAUAAUGUAUUCAGAAUCAUUUUUCAGUAGUAAAUAACCUUUUCAUAGAAUUGUUGGAUGCAUUAUGUAAAUUAAAGGUUACAAUUGUUUAGGAGUUUUAAACUUAUGCUCAUCUUUUAGAUAGUCUUUGGUGCACAGCUAAUCCUAUUUUCUUCAUACAAAAAAUAUACUUUCAUAAAUUACUGAACAUAUUGAAUAGUAAAACCAACCACUGAAACACCUUAGCAGGUAUACCUUCAUAGUAUUGGCUGUAAAUUGUAGCCAUUGAAAAGAACCAAUUUCUCAAUGUAGACCAAGACUAAAUUAGCUAUUUACUUUUUAUUGGUGUUAAUUCAUAAGUCAAAAGAUUUCAAAGUUUUUACAUGAGAUGUUGAAAGUGAAAAGCUUGUACACACAACUAAAUGAGCUAAUCCAGAGGAAAUAAUUUUGUUCUUAUUUUCAGUCGAUUACAUUUAUUAUUUGAAUUGAUUGCUACAGUAAGUAUACUCAGUUGAAAACUGACACACUUUUGUGUUUUCUUUUGGGCCACAGCACAUGCUAUGUUGUGUAUUGCAGCAAAAGCCGCACUCCUUGUGAUGGAUGGGCAUCUGUUGUAAGUUAGUUUGAGUAUAAUAUUUUCAAUUUACAUAAUAAAAUAUGUUUUUUUUUUUAACCAGACUCAAAUUGUAAAGAUGACCCAUAAUUCAUAAUUGUGGAUUUUAAGUGCCUAGUGUGUGGAAUAGGCUUUUAGUAAAUUAGGAAAAUACCCAUAUUAUUUUCAAUUGUCUUAUAUGCUUCAAAUUUAAUUUGAUGUAUGUGCCUCUUAGACAUUGACUCUAAAUACCAAAUCUGGAAGUACACCAAAUGGUUACUAUAUUUUUUUUAAUUCACCUUAUUUUGCAAAUGUCCUUAAAGGCAAGUACAAGUAUUUUUGAGGUUGAUAGGGUGACUUCCCAGGUAGAGGACCAUACAGGUAACAAUCAUUCACUUGUCUGCAGUAUUUCAACAUUUUGAUUCCUACUUGCAAGGUGGCUUGUAGCAGACUUGACUCCCAAAGCAAUUUUGUUAUUAUUAUUAUUAUUAUUAUGUCAGAAAAGGUAGAAACAAGCUUCCUGUAAUGAAUUACUAAAAGCUUGCAAAAUUUUGACUAUUUUGUUUUUAACCUUAUUAUGUAUAGUUUUUGACAGUUUGCCAUUAUCAAAAACUUAGGAAAAUAGUUUAAAUAUACACUAUUUGGAAUGUGAAUCAAUCAUAUUAGUGAAGAAAAGUGGUCCAUUUAUCUUUGGGUCUUGCAAAAAAAAAAUUUGGAUUAAAUGCCAAAAGCUACUAAAUACAAAUGAUAUAGAGUGGAAACAGUAGUAAAAGACCAAAAGUAUUUCUAAAUAUCUAAAACCCAACCAAGUCAGAAAAUCUGAUUAGAGGCACCAAAGCUUCCUUGCUACCUUGCAUUAAAGGGUUAAUAAAUGUAGGUAUUGUUUUAGAACAAAAACACCUUAAAAAGGAAAAAGAUAUCUAUGCAACGAAUAUACUAGUGUCUGUUAGCAGUACAAGUUUGGCCUAGUAUAGUAGAGAAAGCAUUUUUAAUUUGUACAGUCAUUGUACCAUGCACAGUUUGUAGAUAUAAGUAUAGUACACCUUUUAUUCACAUAGUACACAGAAAGGUCCAGACAAACAGACAGGAAAAGUGUGAAAGAAACCCUAGAGAAUAUGUAUUUAUGUAAAAGUGUGUGCUGUAAAAGGCAAACAUCAAGCCAAAGGGAAUAUAUCUGAUGAAGUAUGGAAGUAAUAUAAUUUCAUUACUUGUAAGGGAAUCUGAAACUAUGGGCAAAACCAUUAUAUACUCACCAGGAAUAUUGUAAUCUCAUGGCCGUUACUUCUACUGUCAAUGCCUGAUUCAACUUCUUGUUGAAAAAUCCAUAUAGAGCAUAAUGAUUUUUCCCCCUUCCUCAAGUUCUUGCAGUUCCUACCAUACUCUUUUAAAUCCAUUGUUAAAAUGCACUGAGAACAUUUUACUUUACAAGGGAAUUUUUUUUUUUUCCCUCCUGUAAGUGAUAUUUUUUCCUUAGGAAUGGUCACUGCAAUAACAUUUUCUUAUCUGGUUGACAUGCCAGUUAGAGAAAUUAGUUAUUCUUUGGAUCUUUGAAUUCAUGUUAAAUUAAAUCUCCCUUUAUUUGUGUGUUAUUAUAUUUUGCAUUUUAGAACCUUGCUGGAAUAGUUUGUAUUUUUUACUUUAUACUGCCUCAUUGGUGAAAUGUUUUAUUUCAUGCAGCACAUUAUCUUAAUGGAAUAUCAGUCUAGUAGUUUUACAUUUUAAAUAAGGAUCCUGUACAUAUUGAAAUUUUAAUGGAGGAACUGAUAUUCAACAUACAAAAUUUUUUUUUUAAUCUAUCAGUACUAGUAGAGUUUUUUUUACAUCCAUGACCUAUGUGGAAAGAUGACACGGCUACAUAAAUGUUCUUUAGCAUUAAUUAUGAAGAUGGUUUGUUUAAAUGUUUUGUGGAAUUUCAUUUUAUCAUCAGUAACAUUUAAGGAAAUUUUGGUUGCUGUUAGAUAAUUAUAUUUUUACUGUGCAGAUGUUUAUAUGGCAGGAUUCAGAUUUCUUUGUAAAUGGCAAGGUUAUGGUUUUUGCAUUGUCAAGAUUGCUCAAGUUCCCUGAUGCCCAUGGGAAGUUGCCCAUGGGAAGUAAAGGAAAUGAAUUAUGAGUUCAUAUGCCAUCAGUAUAACUUGCAUAAACCAUUAGUUGUGAAUUGUGUAAUUCAGUGUUAAUAUACUACCAAACACAUUAAAACAUAAACAAAACUUUUCAUAAAAACCCAAUAAUCUUUAUAUACUUGUAUUCAUGAACACUUGGGGUACGAGUAGAGGCAUACAGUAUGAUUAAUAGAAUUGUGGUUAAACUAGUAAUGAUACUAUUCAGCAGAUAGUAUACCCAAGAUGUAUCCUGGUGAUUUGAUUUAAGAAAACUACUUUAUUUGUCAUAAAUUUACUGCUGUGAUUAAAGCUCACGGACUGUUAUAAAAAAAUGAUAUGAAA